UUCACGUCUCUGCUUCUGCAGCUUCUAAAACAGGCUACAGCCAGGCCAGUCUGACCCCCUACACCCCAGACCCAGCAGACCAGGCAGGUGACGGCCAUCAAACCUGCCGCGCGCCUUCUCCAUCUACCCGGUCUCCUCCGCCGUUCAGCCGUAGCCGCCGCCUCUGUGGUCCCCUCGUACUCCCAGAGCCCUACCUACUCCACCAACGCAGUCACGUACUCUGGCACCUCGUAUUCUGGCUAUGAAGCAGCGGUGUACUCUGCUGCCUCUACCUACUACCAGCAGCAGCAGCAGCAGCAGAAACAGGCUGUGCGGCAGUCGCUGCUUCAGCAGGCUGGACAGGAAGCUCCUUCACCAAGAAAACUCCCUUCCAGAGCAAGCAGCUGAAACCCAAGCAGCCCCCCAAACCACCACAGAUCCACUACUGUGACGUCUGCAAGAUCAGCUGUGCUGGACCCCAGACCUACAAGGAACACCUGGAGGGUCAGAAGCACAAGAAGAAAGAGGGUGCCCUGAAGGCCUCCCAGAGCAGCAGCAGCAGCAGUAGUGGAGGAAGCUCAGCCCGGGGGACUCAGAACCAGCUACGCUGUGAGCUCUGUGACGUCUCUUGCACCGGGGCAGAUGCAUACGCUGCACACAUCAGAGGGCCAAGCACCAGA